rnacentral:tRNA from 1 species
AUUUAUAUAGUUUAAUUUUUAAAACAUUACAUUUUCAUUGUAAAAAUAAAAUAUAUUUUUAUAAAUA